GGGGUUCAUCGCCAUAGGGACACACGUACAAGGAAAUUGCUACCAAAUGCUGCCAAUGUGACGUCACUGGGAUGCUCGAAAGCUGAUUGGUCGCUGAGAUUCGAGUUAUGUAGUCAAUUCUGGCGCACCGGCGCAGUGUUUUCCGACCGUUGCGUGUUAUAACUUUGGUUGCUAUGCAAAGUUUUAAUAUGUUUGUUUGAUAAUAUAAACACGUUUUCAUGUGUUUGAAGGUCGCAAAAGCUUAACAUAAGUGGCAACCACACUUUGUAUUACGUUUCGUCUCAUAUAUCAUGAAGAACAACCAAGUAUUUCAAGCUGGGAUCAUGCUGAGGAACCUCAACCAAGGAAAGCUGAGGCGAGGGCAAGUAGGUCCCUGAGGAGGACCACUGCAAAGGAGGUCAAGGAGAUUCUGGGAGCAACCUGCGAGCAACCUCUAGACCAGCCAGCAGGUACCUCUGACAAUGCCGCUGCCGGUGUCGACGCUAACAGCCAUGGCCGGCGCCGAGCUGACGAGUUCCAACCUGGAAGCUCAGCGUGAUCAGCCGAGGCCAGCUGUUUGUUCUGUCACAAGCCUGGAUGGCCCCUAUGGAGGAGUUCGAGCGGAACUUCUGCCUGCUGAUGGGGGAAACUGCAGAUCAGGGGCCGCGAGUCAUACAGCGUCUCAAGCUGUUCAUCGCCGUCAAGCAGCCUCAGCUCGGCACCCGCGUGUCCAGGAAGUUGGCGAGCACCCGUCUCCACCUCCCCCUUCGGUCCCUUAGCCUGACUGGACGAGGUCCGGCAGCUGAAAAGAGCCGAUAGAAAAGUUGGCCAUCAUGCAAGGAGCUCUAGGUGAGCUGGUAAACCGGCUCGUGUAGCGACUACGACUCGGCGUGGUGCUGUGUGACUCGGCGUGGUGCGGCCGGCUCUGUGUGGGUGCUGUGCGACUCGGCAUGGUGCCUCCGGCUGUGUGUAAUGGCUUUGCGACUCGGUGUGGUACGGCCAGAUCUGUUGGUGCUGUGUGACUCGGCAUGGUGCCUCCGGCUGUGUGUAACGGCUGUGCGACUCAGUGUGGUACUGCGGCUCUGUGUGGGUGCUGUGCGACUCGGCAUGGUGCCUCCGGCUGUGUGUAACGGCUGUGCGACUCGGUGUGGUACGGCCAGAUCUGUUGGUGCUGUGUGACUCGGCAUGGUGCCUCCGGCUGUGUGUAACGGCUGUGCGACUCACUGUGCGACUCGGCAUUGGGUAACGGCUGUGCGUCUCGAAAUUGUACCACCAGCUGUGAGUAACGGCCACCCGUAAGUGAAACUUAUAAUAUUUAGUGACA